rnacentral:sRNA from 1 species
CCAGAUGGUCCGGCGUCAGUGGGUUAUCAUGAAAUUUCGACUUCGGUUGAGCCCCCCCCCCCUCCCAUUGACAUCCACUUGACCGUAAG